CUUGAUCUUACUUAUUAUUCGAAACAUGCAUAGUCUAUAUUUUGACUGUCAUUAUUGUUGCUUCAAUACAGUUCAGAUUGAUGUCACCCAGGGCAACAUCCAGAACACAAAGAGCACAAGGAUGCAUCGAGACAAGCUGCACGUCCCAACAACAGAACGGUGUAUUCAGGAUAGAAACGCCCAGAACAAAGCAGCACUUCCUGGACAGAGAGCUGUGCCUGAGCUGUGAUGGCUUGGUACUUACACUGGGACCUGGUGAACCGACUCUUCCAGCAGCUCCAGGGAAACCAGUUACACCCUUUGGGAUAAAGAGUGUGUGAAUAAUGUGUAAAAAGCUGACGUGACUCACAGCGGCACCUUGAGCACCACGGGCACCCUUGAGACCAGUUAGACCAUUGGGACCCUGAAUUGAAGGAGAAAACUCAGAUUAACAACAUUUCCCAGGCUAUUUAACAUACAUGAUUGAAAUCCACUGCUAAUGACAAAAUGGGCAGCAAAGAUAAGAUAAGAUGAACGUUAUUGAUCUCAGGGAGGAAAUUCUUGAAGGUCCACACUGAAGCUUCUUAUCACCAAACGAAAGACAGUAGAAAAUUACCGGAGGUCCUGGGGCUCCUGAGGGACCCUGAGGGCCGUGAGAUCCAGCAUCACCCUUCUGGCCAGAAUCUCCUUGCUCACCCUUGGCUCCAGGCUGCCCAUCUGCACCCUAGUGGUCGAGAAGAACCGGCCAUUUCACAUGCAUGGUUUCAGCAACAUGGCCCAGGUUUGAAGGAGUUCAUGAAGAAAAUUCAGCACUGAAGAAAAUAAAUGCUACAAAUCGUUCAAGUUAUGUUUUGACAUUUACAAAGAAUAAAUAAUGUUUUACUUAA